AAUUAUUUGAUAUUUUACCCUAAAUAAUCGAUAUUUUAUCUGAACCGAACUAUAUGAACUAUCCGAACCCAAACCGGAACCAAAUGAGAAUCAAAUAUUUUCUGGGUAUUUUCUGAUUCUUAGUUUUACUAUCCGAACUAAACCGAAAAUAAGUCAAGUAGUAAAUAGAUCCUCUAACUCUCUACUCGAACUAUCCGAAAUCUGAAAUAUCCAAACCGAACCGAACUCCGAAAGGCCUGUUCCGAAAAUAAGCCAAGUGGUAAAUAGAUCCCUUAGCUCUCUACCCGAACUAUGAAAUAUGGAUGGAUGCAGCUUGGUGUCUAAUGGGCUCACCGAGCCCAGUUUAAAACAUUAAAAAAACACGUGGCGCCACUUUUUAUUGUUAGAUUUUUCUCAUUUUAAAAUAUCUCAGAGCAUCAGCAUCGGGGUCCCUUAAGGCAGGGCCCUUAAGAAAUUUGGGUCGAAAAUAAAUCCAAAAGAAAAGAAAAUGAGUGGAACGGGCCUAAAAUAAGGGAUGAUGGGCUCGUCCCGUGAGGCUACGUGUCGGGUCGGGAUUGGGAGAUGAAAUCGUCGCGUUUGUCUGUGUCUUCGCGUCAAUCUCAUUAUGAAACACAAAUGUGAAAUACGAAAUGAAGAAGGCGAUAAGCUGAUCUCCUCAGAUCGAUCUCUCUUUCACCUGAGUUUCUGUCGGCGUGUCUCCUCAAUCGAAAGCCCAACUCACCACCACGAGAGAUCGCAGCUUCCGUUGGCGUUUGAUCCGCAGAUCGAGAUCCCGAGCUCCAUAGACUUCCGUUCGAUUCCGGUCUUGUAUGAAGGGUCUCAUCUUCCCCAAAUCGUCUGAAACUCUACCCGAGCUCAAUCCUUAGCCGUUACCGAGGUAUUUUCUUUAACUCCCAUCUGAAAUUGAAAAUUAUAGGGUUUAGGAAUAGUGCAUGCUGAGUAGUGGUAUAGAUUCUAUGUUGUUCGAGAACAAUUGUACAGAUUCUAGGGUUCGCAAAUGUUUCCUACUUUCGUAUAGAUUUUUAAAAAUUUAAAUGGUUGGAUUGUGUGAUUAUUUUCGAUGUAGCUUGAUUGAUUGUUUUGUAUAGAUUGAACUAUUGUAGUCGUUGUAGCUCGUUUGAUUGUUUCGUAUUGUAGCUUGUUUGAUUGUCUCGUUUAGAUUGAACCGUUGAGUUUGGUUGUAGCUUGUUUGAUUGUUUGAGAUCAAAAACUAGACUCCGUAUUUGUAUGGUUCGAGAACAAAUGUAUAACAAAUCAGUAACUGAUUUUAGCAACAUGAAAGAACUGUUUGAUAGUUUAGUUUCGAUGCUUUGGAUCCUAUAACUGGUUUUGUGUCUCCGCGUAGCCAUAGUUCAUAGAUCAAAUAUGUGAAAUCGUUUACUUAAUAGUUCAUAUAAGAAUAAAUGUAGCUUCUAUACUUCAUCUUUCAAGUCGUCUCUUGUUUUAUUUUUUUAAAAAAUUCAAUACAAGGGAUGUUGUUACGAUUUAAAACUUGAAUACUAAUUUGAAGUUGUGUGUGGUAGUUGUAUAUUAAAGACACUGACAUCAUUUUCUGCUUAGUUAGGAUGUAUACAGUAGGUUUUAAACGAAAUCCGCUUACAUUAAUGAUGUUGUUAGGAAAGUUGAUAGUUUUUUUUGGUGUAAUAAGUUAGGAUUUGACAUUUCUUGUUGGGAGUUCACCAUUAUGAGUUUAUAGACUUCACUUGAGGCUAUAAAAUCUCUUAUCUCUUAUCUCUUAUCUCUUCUAUCUCAUAACUCUUUCUCCAUUCUAUCUCUUAUCUUACUCUCUUGUAUGGAUCCAAGAAAUCUUCCUAGUCAGUCCUCUAGCUACGUAGGACUGCUUCACAGUCAACAAGGAAGCGUUUAUCAUGAAAACUUCUCUUAUGGAAGUUUUCAUUCUAGUGUCAACUUUGGAGAAUCCGAUACAUUUCCGGCUUUCAGUUCUCAACAACCUGAAGACGCACCAGUCGACGCACCAGUAGACGCACAAGCUGCCCGUCCUGUAAGACGCAAGUGGAACCCUGCAGAUGACGAGGUGCUGAUCAGUGUGUGGCUCAACACUUCGAAGGAUUCGAUUGUUGCAAAUGAGCAGAGUUCGGGGGCCUUCUGGACACGGGUUGCUAAGUAUUAUGCAGAGAGUGCUCAUGGAAGAGAGGAUGGUGUGAGAGAGCAAGGUUGUUGCAAGAAGAGGUGGCAUAGAAUCAAUGAUGACGUUAACAAGUUCUGUGGCGCAUACUCGGCAGCUCAGCGACAAAUUAGCAGUGGUGAGUCUGACACAGACGUUCUGAAGAAGGCGCAUGAAAUUUUCUUCUCUGAUCAACAGCACAAGUUUACCCUUGAACAUGCUUGGUGUGUGUUGAGGUUUGAACAGAAGUGGCUCAGCCUUAACACACCCAAAGCUGGUGGCGUUUCAAAGAGGAAGAAUGUGCAGACAGAUUCCCAAACUUCUACCAACGAAGGCUUCGUUGAUGUUGAGAGCAGGCCCGAAGGUGUCAAGGCUGCUAAGGCUAAAAGAAAUACGGGUAAAGGGAAGUCCAUGGCUGAGAUUGCAACAGUUUGGGAAAUGAAGAAGGACGAUUUGGUGAGGAAGGAGAGACUGUCGAGGCUAGCAAUACUAGACACUCUCCUUACCAAGCAUGUUCCAUUGACUGAGAGGGAAGAAUCUGCGAAGAAUAAGCUCCUAGCCGAGUUAUUUUGAAAAAAAAUUAGAUGUUCUUGUUUCUAGUUCUUGUAUGUCGUCACUUUCAAUGUUUGUGUUAUUGUUUAUGUGUAUAUUUCUAUGUAGUUCCCGUAAUAUUCAAUGAAUGAUUUUCUUUCAAUGUUUGUGUUAUUGUUUAUGUGUAUAUUUCUAUGUUUCUAACUAGUAUGCCUUUAUGUUUCUAACAUGGCUCGACAAUGUCUGCAGGUUAAGUAUCUGAAAAUGGGACGUUACAGCUACUCGCAGCCAUCAGAAGACGAGCCAUUAUUUGGAAACAAUGAUGACAGUGGCUACAGCGAGACAGAGGAUCUCAUACGACGCGACCAAGCUGAGUUAAGCUUGGAACGUAGUUCACAAGUUCACUACCCUCCGCAACCGGAGGUAGAGUUUGGUUUCCCGCAGGUCUGCUAUUGUGGUGCUCACCCAGUGCUUGCAACAUCUAACUCCAGGAAUGAUCAAGGUAUGUACUAUGGUAGUUGCUUAAGUACUUAGCAUGUGAAGAAGGAUUGAUUAUCGAGUUUUUGCGUAUGUUAAACAGGGAGAAGAUUUUACACUUGCGCAAAUAAGGACGAUGGCGAUUGCCAUAUUUUCAAAUGGUGGGAUGAGGCGGUGAUGGAUGAGAUGAGAGCCAGAGAUAUACACGUGUUUCAGCUAUCUGAAAAGGUAGAUAGCCUAACCCUUUUACCUGACUAUGACACUGAGGAGAAGCUACGAAAGCUAGAGAAGAUGGUGGGUGAUUUGGCUAAGGAGAAAUCAUGUAUGAUAAAGGGGUUUGAGUGCUUUGUAAUAGUCAUAGUUGUUCUUGUUGUGGUAAUAGGCUUGCUGGUUAUGUUAGUCUAAUGUUUGAUAGUUUCAAUGUAUGGAUUCCGUUUCUUUGCAAAGCACAUGACGCUUUUGUUCUCAACAUUCACAUGUUCAGUUCCUUUGUACCAAUAAGUCACAUGAUCCAUAGCACAUGUUUAUUUAGCUUCCUACCAAUAAGUCACAAGUUGUACUAAAGAAAAAUAAUUCUAUCACGGGAGGUUUGUAGAAACUUCAUCUUUAUCAUAUAAAUAAGUAUUGAGUUUUAUUCUCUCAUUACAAAUGUGCAAAGUCUCAUCUUCUCUUAAAUUUCAAAACAUUUUUUCCCUUUAAAAAAAUUGUCAAUGGCAUCUUCUUCCCAUUAUCAUUACCACAAAGAUGAUGAUGAUGAAUUAGAUGACAUUUUUGAAGAUUUAUUUGAAGAUUUUGAUUUCAAUCCCACACCAAAAGAACGAAAAAAACGAGUUUUUAUCGAGAGACACCGGGAGGAAGGCCAUCAGAAGCUCUGGAAUGAUUAUUUUAGCGAAACUCCAACAUACCCGCACAAUUUAUUCCGGCGACGGUUUCGAAUGAACAAGGAAUUAUUCUUGCAUAUUGUGCAUCGUCUCUCUACAGAAGUCGAGUAUUUUCAACCCGGAGUAGAUGCAACCGGACGAUCGAGUCUAACUCCGCUCCAAAAAUGUACCGCAGCAAUUCGUCAAUUGGCGUAUGGUGGUGGUUCCGACACCGUUGACGAAUAUGUCCGAAUUGGUGAAACAACGGCAAGAAGAUGUUUGCACAAUUUUGCCGCGGGAAUAAUCGACUUGUUUGGCGGUGAAUACCUAAGACGUCCCACACCGGAGGAUCUGCAAAGACUACUUUCUAGUGGAGAACAACGUGGGUUUCCAGGGAUGAUUGGAAGCAUCGACUGUAUGCAUUGGGAGUGGAAGAAUUGUCCAACGGCUUGGAAAGGAAUGUAUUCACGAGGAUCCGGAAAACCAACGAUUGUCUUGGAGGCGGUAGCUUCCUAUGACCUCUGGAUAUGGCACGCGUUUUUUGGAGCUCCAGGUACUAUGAACGAUCUUAAUAUUCUCGAUCGAUCACCCGUUUUUGAUGACAUUAUUAACGGAAUAGCGCCACAAGUUAACUUCUAUGUUAAUGGUACUCCAUACCAUUAUGCAUAUUAUCUCACGGAUGGUAUUUAUCCGAAAUGGGCUACAUUUAUUCAAUCUAUCCGACUACCACAAAAUCAGAAGCAUUCAUUAUUUGCUCAAACCCAAGAAGCUGUGAGAAAAGAUGUCGAGCGUGCCUUCGGAGUCCUACAAGCUAGGUUUGCCGUUGUUAGAAAUCCAUCUAAUAUAUGGGAUAAAGAAAAAAUAGGAAAUAUUAUGAGAGCAUGUAUCAUACUCCAUAAUAUGAUUGUCGAAGAUGAACGAGCAUCAAGAACGAAUUACAACGUUGAUGAAUUUGAAGAAGAUGUGCAAACAUUUUCCGUCAAUAUGCCUUCAACUGUCGGGAGUACACUUGAACGUCGAACGAGCGUUCGGAAUAGACAAGUCCAUCAACAUUUAAAAAAUGAUUUGAUUGAAAAUAUAUGGACUAAAUUUGGAAAUCCUUGAAAUAAUAUAUAAUUUGUAUUUUCUUUCAAUAAUGUCAUUUUCUUAUGUUUUCUAUUUUUUUUAUGAUGUUUGUAUUUUCUUUCAAAAAUGUAAUUUUCUUAUGUUUUCAAUUUUAAUAUUACAUUUUUAUUUUUAAUGUUUUAUUUAAAAAUUAUAUAUGUCAUUAUUUAUUAAUUAAAAUAAUAAAUUAAAUUAACUAAGGGACAAUAUAAGUCUCACCAAUAAUCAAGUAAUUUAACCAAAUCCCUUAGUCUAGUCCCUAAGCAAAAAAUAAUAAUAAAGAUUAGUUAAGGGCCUAAAAUAAGUACCACCUAUAAAGAUGCUCUCAUAACCCAUACCUUCUUCCUCAUCUCUCCAUCAUCUCUUCUACGCUUAUCCUCUCUCUUUGCGGUGCUAAUAGGUAGGUGAGAAGAUGGGCGUUGAUCUGGAAUCUAUCUCGGAGGCCACCUCCGGAGCUAUAGGAUCCCUUCUGAGCACAACCAUCUUAUACCCUCUCGACACCUGCAAAUCCAAGUACCAAGCCGAGAUCAGUGUCCCCGGUAACCACAAAUACAGGUUAUAACGCCACGAUCAUCUCAAAAAUUCGCAAUUGCCUGUUUAUCUAUAUCGAUCUGGAUCGUAACAUUGACUUGGACGCAUAUCAGAUGUCUUUUGGGAAGCCAUUUCUUCAGGGAACGUUCUCUCGUUGUAUCAAGGCCUAGGGACUAAGAACGUGCAGUCCUUUGUUUCCUCGUUCAUCUACUUUUAUAGUUACAGCUACUUCAAGAGGUUGCAUAGUGAGAGGAUUGGUUCUAAGUCGAUUGGCACAACGGCUAACCUCCUCAUCGCUGCUGCUUCUGCUGCUUUUACUAAUAUAUUGACCCAAGUAACGUUUUUUUUUUAGCAGGGACUUGUCUUCUCUACGUUCUCUAUACUAACCCUCCUCAUAGCCUCUUGAUACAGCUUCGUCGAGGAUGCAAACAAGCGAGUUUGGGAAUGCAAAAGGGUUUUGGAAGACGUUAACCGAGGGUACUUGGGGAGAUGCUUAUGAUGGCAUGGGGAUUACUCUUUUACUCACCCCUAAUCCUGCUAUUCAGUAUACAGUGUUUGAUCAGCUGAAACAGAACCUCGUUGAGAAAAGAAAGGCUAAAGCCAACAAAGACUCUUCCCCUGUAGUCAUCUCUUCCUUCAUGGCCUUCUUGUUGGGUGCCAUCUCUAAAUCUGCUGCUACCGUCAUCACUUAUCCACUAAUCAGAUGCAAGGUGAUGAUUCAAGCAGCAGAUGACACAAAGGAUAAUGAAGCGAAGAAGCCACGAGAAAGAAUCAAGAAAACGAUUCCAGGGGUCAUCUAUGCUAUAUGG